GCGUGAGAAUCUGGCUUUGGGUUCGGGACAACCACUGGAAACGGUGGCUAAUACCGGAUGUGCCGCAAGGUAAAAGAUAAAUUGCCUGAAGAUGAGCUCGCGUCUGAUUAGCUAGUUGGUGGGGUAAGAGCCUACCAAGGCGACGAUCAGUAGCUGGUCUGAGAGGAUGGCCAGCCACACUGGGACUGAGACACGGCCCAGACUCCUACGGGAGGCAGCAGUGGGGAAUUUUCCGCAAUGGGCGAAAGCCUGACGGAGCAAUACCGCGUGAGGGAAGAAGGCUCUUGGGUUGUAAACCUC
rnacentral:rRNA from 1 species